rnacentral:rRNA from 1 species
UACGUAGGAGACGAGCGUUGUCCGGAAUACUGGGCGUAAAGCGCGUGUAGGCGGAUGGGCAAGUCUGCUGUGAAAGCUCCUGGCUUAACCGGGAGUGGUCGGUGGAAACUGCCAAUCUGGAGGACGGUAGAGGUAGGUAGAAUUCCCGGUGUAGUGGUGAAAUGCGUAGAGAUCGGGAGGAAUACCUGUGGCGAAGGCGGCCUACUGGGCCGGACCUGACGCUGAGACGCGAAGGCGUGGGGAGCGAUCCGG